rnacentral:rRNA from 1 species
UCAAGCGACUAAGUGUAUGUGGUGGAUGCCUUGGCGAUCACAGGCGAUGAAGGACGUGACAGCCUGCGAAAAGCUGUGGGGAGCUGGCAAAUAAGCUUUGAUCCACAGAUGUCCGAAUGAGGGAACUCACCUGCUUUGCAGGUAUCCCAUCCUGAAUAUAUAGGGAUGGGAGGCGAACGAAGCGAACUGAAACAUCUAAGUAGCUUCAGGAAAAGAAAUCAACCGAGAUUCCGAAAGUAGCGGCGAGCGAAAUCGGAUCAGCCCAGCACUCGAUAGCAGCCAACUUACGGGAACGGUCUGGAAAGUCCGGCCAUAGAGGGUGAUAGCCCCUUACUGGAAAAGGCAGCUGUGGUACUAAGUGUGCGAUAAGUAGAGCGGGACACGUGACAUCCUGCUCGAAGAUGGGGGGACCAUCCUCCAAGGCUAAAUACUCGUAAUCGACCGAUAGCGAACCAGUACUGUGAAGGAAAGGCGAAAAGAACCCCGGGAGGGGAGUGAAAUAGAUCCUGAAACCGCAUACAUACAAACAGUAGGAGCCUCGUUAAGGGGUGACUGCGUACCUUUUGCAUAAUGGGUCAGCGACUUACGUUUAAUGGCGAGCUUAACCGUAUAGGGGAGGCGCAGCGAAAGCGAGUUCGAACAGAGCGUUCAGUCGUUAGGCGUAGACCCGAAACCAGAUGAUCUAUCCAUGGCCAGGUUGAAGGUGUGGUAACACACACUGGAGGACCGAACCGACUAGUGUUGCAAAAUUAGCGGAUGAGCUGUGGAUAGGGGUGAAAGGCUAAACAAAUCUGGAGAUAGCUGGUUCUCCCCGAAAACUAUUGAGGUAGUGCCUCGUGUAUGACUCCAGGGGGUAGAGCACUGUUAUGGCUAGGGGGACAUGGCGUCUUACCAAACCAUGGCAAACUCCGAAUACUUGGAAGUUUGAGCACGGGAGACAGAGCACCGGGUGCUAACGUCCGGACUCAAAAGGGAAACAACCCAGACCGCCGGCUAAGGUCCCUAAUAUUGACUAAGUGGAAAACGAAGUGGGAAGGCUAAGACAGUCAGGAAGUUGGCUUAGAAGCAGCCAUCCUUCAAAGAAAGCGUAAUAGCUCACUGAUCGAGUCUUUCUGCGCGGAAGAUGUAACGGGGCUAAGUCAAUAACCGAAGCCGCGGAUUCACACUUAUGUGUGAGUGGUAGGGGAGCGUUCUGUAAGCCUGCGAAGGUGACUCGUAAGGGUUGCUGGAGGUAUCAGAAGUGCGAAUGCUGACAUGAGUAACGUUAAAGCGGGUGAAAAGCCCGCUCGCCGUAAGCCCAAGGUUUCCUGCUCUACGUUCAUCGGAGCAGGGUGAGUCGGCCCCUAAGGUGAGGCUGAGAAGCGUAACUGAUGGGAACAAGGUUAAUAUUCCUUGACCACCGCUGAAUGCGAAGGGGGGACGGAGUAUUGAAGAUCAUCCGGGUGUUGGAUAUCCCGGUUUGCGAGCGUAGGAGGCUGACAGGCAAAUCCGUCAGCGAAUCUCCGAGGCAAAGCAUCGAGCUCUCUUUUGAGCGAAGUGAUUGGAUGUGCUUCCAGGAAAAGCCUCUAAGCUCCAGUUCAGCGGGACCGUACCGCAAACCGACACUGGUGGGCGAGCUGAAUAUGCUCAGGCGCUUGAGAGAACUCAGGAGAAGGAACUCGGCAAAUUGACACCGUAACUUCGGGAUAAGGUGUGCCUUUGUAGCGUGGAGGGAGAAACACCCCGAGCGCGAAGAGGUCUCAGAUAAUCGGUGGCUGCGACUGUUUAUUAAAAACACAGCACUCUGCAAAGACGAAAGUCGACGUAUAGGGUGUGAUGCCUGCCCGGUGCUGGAAGAUUAAUUGAUGGGGUGCAAGCUCCUGAUCGAAGUCCCAGUAAACGGCGGCCGUAACUAUAACGGUCCUAAGGUAGCGAAAUUCCUUGUCGGGUAAGUUCCGACCUGCACGAAUGGCAUAAUGAUGGCCAGGCUGUCUCCACCCGAGACUCAGUGAAAUUGAAAUCGCCGUGAAGAUGCGGUGUACCCGCGGCUAGACGGAAAGACCCCGUGAACCUUUACUAUAGCUUGACACUGAACAUUGAAUUUUGAUGUGUAGGAUAGGUGGGAGACUUUGAAGUAGUCACGCCAGUGAUUAUGGAGUCGACCUUGAAAUACCACCCUUUAACGUUUGAUGUUCUAACGAAGAUGACGAAACGUGGUCUCGGACAGUGUCUGGUGGGUAGUUUGACUGGGGCGGUCUCCUCCCAAAGAGUAACGGAGGAGCACGAAGGUUUGCUAAUCACGGUCGGACAUCGUGAGGUUAGUGCAAUGGUAUAAGCAAGCUUAACUGCGAGACAGACAAGUCGAGCAGGUACGAAAGUAGGUCAUAGUGAUCCGGUGGUUCUGCAUGGAAGGGCCAUCGCUCAACGGAUAAAAGGUACUCCGGGGAUAACAGGCUGAUA